UUGGUUCCGUGCUCCGCCACUGCUGACAUGUCAUCCCUUGUUAUUGAUACGAAGAUACAAGAAUUGCUACCGGAGACCGAAUUCAUGGUGAAGUGUGACGGCUGUGUUUCAGAUGUUAAAAAGCAAAUUGCAGACGAUCGAGGGCGUUAAAAGACUUGAUGUCGACUUGACUAAUCAAGUUGUACGAGUGCUAGGCUCCAUUUCUCUGCGGACUCUGACAGAUGCCCUGCAGCAGACAGGCAGGACUCGCUUAAUUGGUCAAGGGAGGCCAGCAGGUUUGAUCUUAUUGGAGGUCGGUCUCUACUAAGGUUGCCAAGCCGUAGUCGACGUGGCUUUUCCCUGUCCCUUGUGUACUUGUACAAAUUUUGAUUUCUAAGGACUGUCCUUAAGCUUCAGGAGAUUUUCCUUAAUUGUGGUAUACUCGUGAUGCUCUUGGUUAUCAUCAGUCUUUCCUCUCUCCUUCUUUUAGGCCUCAAAAAUUGAUGGAUCUACACAAAGUCCGGCAUGCUGGGAGAAGCCCCAAAUUCAAACACCUUUCUCAUCUAGAAUCUCUAAUAUUGGCAUCUGUAUACAUGCAAUUAGAUUUGUUCUUUCAAACAGCAAGAUGGCAUAUAUGAUUGCUGUUUUAAAUUUGGGUUUUUUGUCUAUAUUUAGUUGACACGGAUGUCAACGAC